UUUUUUUUUUUUUUUUUGAGAUAGAGUCUCGCUCUGCCACCCAGGAUGAAGUGCAGUGGCACAAUCUCAACUCACUGCAAGCUCCACCUUCCAGGUUCAAGCGAUUCUCCUGCCUUAGUCACCCGAGUAGCUGGGAUGAAGGUGACUGCCACAAUGCCAGAUAAUUUUUAUAUUUUUAGUAGAGACAGAGUUUCACCAUGUUGGCCAGGCUGAUCAAGAACUGACCUCAGGGGAUCCGCCCGCCUCGGCCUCCCAUAGUGCUGGGAUUACAGGUGUGAGCCACUGGACCAGCCUGGAAACCAUUUUUUAAAGUAAGUAGUAUAACUGAUACUUUUAAAAACAGGAGAGAAAAUAAAAUAAUAUAGUCAUAUAAAAUGGUGAAUUAAAAGCAAAAAAGGCAGAAGAGAGUGGAAGACAAAAAUAGGAACAAAGAAAAAAGGCAACAAAGAGAAAACAGUAACAAAUAUGGUAGGUAUUAAUACAACUAUACUAAUAAUCACUGUAAACAUUAAUGAUGUAAACACACUAAAUAAAAGAUGGAAAUUGUCCUAGUGGAGCAAAAAACAAAACUGAACUAUAUGUUGGCUAAAAGAAACCCACCUUAAAUAUGAAGACACAUAGAGAGUAAAAAUAAAGGUAGGGAGAGUGACAUACUAACGCUAAUCAAAAGAGGGCUAGAGUAGCUAUUUUAAUUUCGAACAGUAGACUUCAGAGCAAGGAAUAUUGUUAGGGAUAAAAAGAGGCAUUACAUAAUGAUAAAAGGGUCAGUUAUCCAAGAAGACAUAACAAUCGUUCAUGUAUAUUCACCUAACAAAAGAAUGGCAAAAUACACGAGGCAAAGACUGAUAGAAUCCCAAGGAAAAAUAGAAGAAGCCACUACUACAUUUGACUGUCCCACUGGCUUUUGUACUUGCAAGGGCCCUGUAACCCCUUUGUUUUGGCCAAUUUCUUCCAUUUGGAAUGACCAUAUUUACCCAAUACCUGUACCCCCAUUUGUACCUAGGAAGUAACUAGCUUGUUUUUGAUUUUACAGGCUCAUAGGUGGAAAGGACUUGCCUUGUCUCAGAUGAGACUUUGGACUGUUGACUUUUGGGUUAAUGCUGAAAUGAAAAUGAGUUAAGACUUUGGGGGACUGUUAGGAAGGAAUAAUUGGUUUUGAAAUGUGAGGACAUGAGAUUUGGAGGAGCCAGGGGCAGAAUGAUAUGGUUUGGCUGUGUCCCCACCCAAAUCUCAACUUGAAUUGUAUCUCCGAGAAUUCCCACGUUGUGUACUCCCCAGCCUGGGCAACAGAGUGAGACCCUGUAUCAAAAAAAAAAAAAAAAAGAUGAAGAAGAAGGACAAACCUGACAAGACUUUUAUCCCAAAUAUACGAAGAAUCUUAAAACUCAACAACAAUAAUUUUUUAGAACCUGACUUUAAAAUACACAUCAGGCGGAUCAUUGAGAAUGAUGGUUAAAAAAAAAAGCAAAAAAAAAGCAAAAAAAACAAAAACAAAAACAAAAAAACCUGUAUAGACACCUCACCAAAAAAGAUAUACAAAUGGUAAAUAAACAUAUAAAAAGAGCUCAAUAUUAUAUGUCAUUAGGGAAUUGCAAAGUAUAACAAUGAAAUACCAUCAUAACUAUUAGAAUGGCCAAAAUCCAAAAGACUGGCAACAUUAAGUGCUGACAAGGAUGUGGCACAGUAGGAACUCCAUUCAUUGAUGGUGGGAAUGCAAAAUGGUACAGCCAACUCAGAAGACAGUUUGGCAGAUUCUUACAAAACUAAACGUACUCUUACCAUACAAUCCAACAAUCACACUCCUUGGUAUUUGCCUUAAUGAGUUGAAAACAUGUCCACACAAAAACUAAAAUGUGAAUGUUUAUAGCCACCUUACUUGUAAUUGUCAAAAUUUGGAAGCAACCAAGAUGUCCUUCAGUAAGUGAAUGGAUGUAACUGUGAUAAUUCCAGACAAUGGAAUGGUAUUCAGAGCUAAAAAUAAAUGAGCCAACAAGCCAUGAAAAGACAUAGAGGAACCUUAAAUACAUAUUACUAAGUGAAGGAAGCCAAUCUAAAAAGGCUACACAUUGGCCGGGCGCAGUGGCUCAAGCCUGUAAUCCCAGCACUUUGGGAGGCCGAGACGGGUGGAUCACGAGGUCAGGAAAUUGAGACCAUCCUGGCUAACAUGGUGAAACCCCGUCUCUACUAAAAAAAAUACAAAAAAACUAGCCAGGCGUGGUGGCAGGCGCCUGUAGUCCCAGCUACUCGGGAGGCUGAGGCAGAAGAAUGGCGUAAACCCGGGAGGCGGAGCUUGCAGUGAGCUGAGAUCCGGCCACUACACUCCAGCCUGGGCAACAGAGCAAGACUCUGUCUCAAACAAACAAACAAACAAACAAAAAAGGCUACACAUUAUAUGAUUCCAAUUAUUAUGACAUUCUGGAAAAAGCAAACUAUGGAUGCUGUAAAAAAAAAAGUCAGUGGUUGCCAGUGCCUGGUGGGAGGAAGAGCUGAAUGGGCAGAGCAUAGAAUUUUAAGGGCAAUGAAACUAUUCUGUAUAAUACUGUAAUGGUGAAUACAUGUCAUUUUACAUUUGUCCAAACACUUAAAAUGUACAACACCAAGAAUGAGCCCUAAUCAUGGACUGUGGGGUCAUCAGUUGUAACAAAUAUACCAUUGUAGUGCAGGAUGUUGAUAGAGAGGCUGUGCGUUUGUGGUAGCAAGGGAAUAUAUUUGGGAAAUUUGCCUACUUUCUGCUCAAUUUGACUGUGAACCUAAACCUGCUCUAAAAAAUAAAGUCUAUUUUGUAAAAUAAACAAAUUUAAAUUUUUUAAACUUUCCACUGCGGAUUGAAUACAUUGAUUUAUCCCUUCCCUCUGCCUUUUGUUUUGUUUUGUUUUGUUUUGCAAGAUGAAGGGGGGACAAUAUGAGAUUUAGUUGAUUCCCUAUACUGAAAUACAAAUGAAAUAUGCCUUUCACAUUAUUGUUCCAGUUUGUACAGUGUAUUAUAAUGGAUUUCAUUUAUAAAAAUAAAAUUUCUGUAUUUCAUUUCUACAUAGAUGAAAUACAAUAAAAAUCAAGGUGACCGCACCAUUUCCACAAUGAACCAUCAAGUGACUGAUGUAAAAAAUGUUAUGACACAAAAUAUUGAUAAAAUUUUGGAGAAAGAAGAAAGAUUGAAUACCUUCCUUGAUAGAACAGAUGAUCUCCAAACAACUGUAAGUGAUUCACACCUGUGUUGAUGCCCAAACAGUGCUGUAAGUCAUACGAUUGCUGCCC
rnacentral:lncRNA from 1 species